rnacentral:rRNA from 1 species
ACGGGAGGCAGCAGUGAGGAAUAUUGGUCAAUGGGCGUAAGCCUGAACCAGCCAAGUCGCGUGAGGGAUGAAGGUUCUAUGGAUCGUAAACCUCUUUUAUAAGGGAAUAAAGUGCGGGACGUGUCCCGUUUUGUAUGUACCUUAUGAAUAAGGAUCGGCUAACUCCGUGCCAGCAGCCGCGGUAAUACGGAGGAUCCGAGCGUUAUCCGGAUUUAUUGGGUUUAAAGGGUGCGUAGGCGGCCUUUUAAGUCAGCGGUGAAAGUCUGUGGCUCAACCAUAGAAUUGCCGUUGAAACUGGGAGGCUUGAGUAUGUUUGAGGCAGGCGGAAUGCGUGGUGUAGCGGUGAAAUGCUUAGAUAUCACGCAGAACCCCGAUUGCGAAGGCAGCCUGCCAAGCCAUGACUGACGCUGAUGCACGAAAGCGUGGGGAUCAAACAGGAUUAGAUACCCUGGUA